CGUGGCAAAAGUAGUCCACUGAUUUCCGCUGUAGACUACUACAAUUAGAGACACGAUUUUAACCUGUAUUUGAUUAUAUUUUGGAAAAGUGAAGUACGCCGAAGUAUCUACUGGCGGUACCCGUUUGCUAUUUACCAUUUUCUGCAUUGAUUACUAUUAAUGAAUUACUUUGACAAUGAAGAAAACUUCAAAACGUGAUGAUUCCUAAGGCAAGUUCUGGAGACAUAAGGAGCGUCUUUUUUCUUUAUUCACGAUAGACAUCGAAGACACUCUGCUGGACAGACAGAGCUGCCCGGGUGGACACUUGAGAGGAAAUCUGAUGCAGUCCAGAGAAGAAACCAUCCGUCUUCAUCUUGAACACAAGAAACCUGCCAUACAAGAGGCCCUUGUUCCUACCACGCUCUACUCAACACAAGACAAGGAGAGUUGGCCUCUGGACGCCCCCUACUGGAGGAAAGAAGGCACGGCUCGCUUGUCGACCUGCUGACGCCUCAUGCGGACGACACCUGCGUCCACUCGCACUGCUGCUCUCUUGCCGUGCAGGUCAUCCAGCAGUUGCAGACAGGCGUGCUGCAGCCUCGCCAGCUCAGCCUCAGAGGACAUUAGACAUUGCUUCAGCACCGCACUGCUCUGAGAGACACACAGGAAACACAUUAAGCCUGAUUUCUGAUUCAGUGUUAAACCACUGAAUGCUUUUUUUAAAACAUAUGGUGUGAACAUCUGCCAAUACACACAGCAUACAUGCUUAUAUUAUUUGAAUAUGAAGGUGCUCUGGUUUACA